ACUAUUUAGGCAGAUUAUUGUGAUAAAUUUAGAAUUUAUUUAUGGGACACCAAAUAGUG
rnacentral:tRNA from 1 species